CUCUGCGUGAUAGGGAGUGGAAGGAAAAGACUUUAAGGAGUAGCUGCACUGCUGAGGACAAGUUUGGGGCUCUGUUUGCUGAAGGUGUUGAAUAAAUCACUAUGAUCUCCAGUCCCAUGGGAGACCACAAUGGAGAAGACAGCCAUGGAAACUUAGACCUGAAUUUAACUCUGGCGACCAGAGCUUUGAGAAUGUGGGCUAUGUAUUACCAAAUCUUUAUCAUUUUGAGAUCUGAGAGUCAGAAGAUACCAGGCACCUUUGAAUAGACAGAGUAGAUGUGUUGUGCCAAAGCUGAGAAGACCUUUCCAGAUCGAUAUCUCCUUGCACCUACAUCUUACAGAACGUGGAUUUCAGAACAUGGUGUCGGGACAUCCCAGGUCUGUGAGGAGAGGGCAGUGGCUGGCAAGGCUGCCCCAUGUUACACAGAUUGACCAAACAUAGCUGAGUGCUGGGCCUGCCUACCUCAAAGGUGACCUUGAGGUUUGUUGAAGAUGCCUCUGGUAAGUUUAAGCAGACAAAUUACUUCAUGUGGUUGCUAGUAUAAUGACAGGCUUAGAACAAGAAAAUGCGGGAGUGCACUUGAAAUGAAUGCUUUGCUCUGGGGAGAAAAGUGCUUUGAACAGUUGUAUGAAGUGUAAAUGACUUGGGGAAUUGGAGGAUCCAUAGGUGACUUGGAGUGUGGUUUUCUGUUGGGAUUUCUGUCAAACCUGUUAAUUUUGUAAUUCUUUUGACUCUUGCUGAAAGCAGCCUGAGAGGGAAAUAGCAACAAUUUUCCAUGAAAUGUGACAUUCUGAAAUAUCAAGUUGUUAGUUGAAACACAUGAUUUGCAUGAAAGGUAUAAUUCCUCUGCCACUUCUCUCAUAAAAAUGUCAUAGAAAUUUAAUUGCAAAAGUAUUAGCAGCUAAGAGCUGGAAUCAAAAAUCUUGGGGUGCAGCAGAGGGGGAAGGACGAUUCUUUCUGUAGGCCGUUUACACAAUAUAUAGCACCUUCUGUCUGCAGGUCUGGUUUCUGUCAUAUGAGCCCUGCUAAAACAAAAUCAGCUGUUUCUAUUUGAUCUCUGAACUUCAUUAACUGUUUCCACCAUGACGACUGUGGACGGUACUUUUAGCAGCAUAAAGUGUCUGAGCUCUUAAGUGGUACAAAAAGACAGAAAUGCAGCCAAGAGAUGGAGCAUGCUUUCUGAGAUCUCUUCUGUGGAGGACAUAGCUGGAUCUGACAGGUUCUUUCUUGCAGGUGGUUCCUAUCUAUGUGUGUGCAAAAGACUUAAUUUUUUUGUCUAGUUCUGUCUUAACUUUUUCAUGAAAUAUAGUAAAAAUUAUUUGCUAUAAGCUUAUGUUUAUUCAUUAUACCAGUUUCAGCAAGAAUCAAAUGUCUGAAAAUUCUGAAGUACACAGUAACUGACCCAACUUUACCUACACCCUCUGAAGCUGCUGGUAGCCAAAGAGGAUGUGUGUGGUUAAUGCUUUGCUUGGGUAUAGCUGUGUUGUUGGUUUGGUUAAAACUGUGUGGCAAUACUGUGAGACAGGUAAAACUAGAUGCUUCAGAUUCUCAACUUGUGCUUUGCAUCCAGGAAGACCCAAUGUCUUGCUUAAGCACUGCUUGCAAGCUCUCUGUACUAAGUUGUGGGAUGAGCCUCCAGCAGAACUCUUCAGUGGUUAUAGUGAUGAUCAGUAGGAUCUCAGAGGUAAGGAGUAACUGAUGAGUGUAAAUGUAAAGUGGACUGAUGGCACUGUUGGAAUUGGUACAACUAUGAAGCUUAUUGUACAGAGGUUUGAUUCCAUGGAUUAAGGGAGAAGAGUGUCUAGAAAUGCCCUAGACAUUGCUUAAGGA